GACGAACGCUGGCGGCGUGCUUAACACAUGCAAGUCGAACGAAGUGGCGAACGGGUGAGUAACGCAUAAUCACCCUGCCCUUCAGAGGGGGACCACAGUUGGAAACGACUGCUAAUACCGCAUACUGAAGGUGGGGAUUGCGUCGGAUUAGCUAGGUGGGGGGGGAACGGCCCACCAAGGCGAGGAUCAGUAGACGGUCUGAGAGGAUGAACGGCCACAUUGGGACUGAGACACGGCCCAGACUCCUACGGGAGGCAGCAGUGGGGAAUCUUCCGCAAUGGACGAAAGUCUGACGGAGCAACGCCGCGUGAGUGAUGACGGCCUUCGGGUUGUAAAGCUCUGUUAAUCGGGACGCGGUACCGGAAUAGAAAGCCACGGCUAACUACGUGCCAGCAGCCGCGGUAAUUC
rnacentral:rRNA from 1 species